GACGUAGGGCGCAAGCGUUGUCCGGAUUUAUUGGGCGUAAAGAGCUCGUAGGCGGCCUGUCGCGUCGACCGUGAAAACCCGCAGCUCAACUGCGGGCUUGCGGUCGAUACGGGCAGGCUGGAGUUCGGUAGGGGAGACUGGAAUUCCUGGUGUAGCGGCGAAAUGCGCAGAUAUCAGGAGGAACACCGGUGGCGAAGGCGGGUCUCUGGGCCGAUACUGACGCUGAGGAGCGAAAGCGUGGGGAGCGAACAGG
rnacentral:rRNA from 1 species